UAUGUUGGAGAAUGAUUUCAACUAAUACACUCCUAUGCAAAUGCACAAAACCACUCUUUUUCAUUAACUUGCUCUUGUCAACUUGCUAAGUUACUUAAACCCAAUCCCUUGGUGAGAAAGCCUAGAUUCACUUAUUAAAUCCCAAUCCCUUGGCAACCUAACAAGUUCAUCCGUAUUAAGAAAAGAAGUUUAAGACAACCAAAGGUCCUAGCUCUAUCCCUAGACACUAUUUUCUUUAGGUGUUUAGUCCAGUUCAAGGUUCACA
rnacentral:lncRNA from 1 species